rnacentral:lncRNA from 1 species
UUUAAGCACUCCAUCGGCGGUGGAGAGAAAAUGUGUCUUACAUAGGGAAUAGUUGAAUGUCUUGUUUCAUCAAAUAUGCUGACUAACAAAUAUGCUGACUAACUUACACGUAGGCCUUGAUAUGUAUCUUUAUAUUUAAGUGGGCCAAUUUGUUGGGCUUUGUAAAUUUAACUUGUACUACAAUUUAAUCUAGCCCACAAUGCUUAAUUAAUCAUGAUUGACAAAAAAAGAAAUUUAGAUUAUUAACAGUCUUAAAUUAUUUUGUUUUUUUUUCAAACUAAAAUACUAUUUAAAAAAUAAAAUAGUUGUUAUUUGAAAGAAAAAAAAUAUUGGCCAAGGGCCCCGGUUUGGAUUGAGCCGGCCCUGAUUGCAUGUUGAAGUUUCUUUUGUUUA